CUUGGUUCUACCUGUGCCCCUGGAAGCCACAAGAAGCUUGGGGAAGCAAAGUACCAGGGUGCUCUUUUGCUGAACCAUUCUAUUAGCCAGGGUUAUCCAGAGAAACAGAACCAAUAGGAGACAAUCCUCAUGUAUGAAGGGAGAUUCAUUAUAAGGAACUGGCUCACAGGAUUGCUGCUGGCAAGCUGGAGGCUCAGGAAAGCUAGUGGUGUAACUCAGCUGUGUCUGAAGAUCUGAGAGCCAUGGUGUAAACCCAAGUGCAAGAGGGGAAUAAGAUUAGAUGAAGGGUCCCAGUUCAAGCAGUGAGGCAGGAAAAAAAGCGGCAGCGGUGGGGGGAUGGUGAGGGGUGGUGGUAUUCUUCUUUUCUGCACUUUUUGUUCUCUUCAGGACCUCAGUGGAUUUGAUGAUGGCCACGUGCAUUGGGAAGGAUGAUCUGUGUUACCAAGUCCACUGAUUCAAACACUCAUCUCAUUUGGAAACAGCCCACAGACACAUCAGAACUGAUAUUUAAUCUCCAGGGAAGAUCCCCUGGAGGAGGGCAUGGCAAUCCACUCCAGUGUUCUUGCCUGGAGAAUCCCAUGGACAGAGGAGCCUGGCAGGCUACAGUCCAUGGGGUCGCAAAGAGUCAGACAUGACUGAGUGACUAAGCACCCCAUGACCAGGGAAGGUGACACAAAAUUAACUAUCGCAACCGUGUUGUUCUUCCAGUUUCACUCUAGUGUGUCCACACCCCAGGCUAAUGCAACUUGUUUGGUGGCCACUUUUCAUAGUUCAGAAUGAAGUGAAGGGGUAACCUUCACCCUACCCUGCCUCCUGCGACCUCUACAGGAGACCUCGGUUGAAUCACUCGAAUGCUGACGUUCAACCAUUUUUUUGACCUAAGAAUAACAGCAAUUCCAUAUGGUUCAAGCCACGCGUCAACUGAUGGAAUCCCCUGAAGAGAUGGAGAGUGACGCUUAGGGCCCCCAAUGUCCCCUGACCCUGUCACAUUUCACAUUCAGAAGGGUUACAGAGAGACUCGGGCUGUGCCCAGAGCCGCUGUGAGUAGAGGACCUGUUGGACCUUCUCCCCACUUCCCUGCUGUGAAAACUGCUCUGGCACUGAGGGUGGGACAGUGGGCCACAGGUCCACCCUUCACCCAUGGCACCGCCUGGAUUCCCUGGACUGCUGGCUGCUGGUGGAGGCCAGCAGGGAGAGAAGGAGGGAGAG
ensembl:lncRNA